rnacentral:rRNA from 1 species
AUUGAACGCUGGCGGCAGGCCUAACACAUGCAAGUCGAACGGUAACAGGAAGAAGCUUGCUUCUUUGCGGACGGGUGACGGACGGGUGAGUAAUGUCUGGGAAACUGCCUGCUUGGGGGGGAUAACUACUGGAAACGGUAGCUAAUACCGCGUAACGUCGCCAGACCAGAGGGGGUGGCCUUCGGGCCUCGUGUCGUCGGGUGUGCCCAGAUGGUUUUAGCUUGGUGGGGGGGUUAGGUCUCACCAAGGCGGCGAUGCCUACGGGGUCUGAGAGGAUGACAACCCACCUGGGAAGGGAGCCACGGUCAAGACUCCUACGGGAGGCAGCAGUGGGGAAUAUUGCACAACGGGCGCAAGCCUGAUGCAGCCAUGCCGAGUGUAUGAAGAAGGCCUUCGGGUUGUAAAGUCCUUUCAGCGGGGAGGAAGGGAGUAAAGUUAAUACCUUUGCUCAUUGACGUUAACCGCAGAAGAAGCACCGGCUAACUACGUG